GACCUGGUAGCGCAAUGUUAGUGCGUCUGCAUACAGUGGCAUGUUUUUCGAUCGACAGAGCCCUUGCAGAAGAUCCCCGUUCGACUCGGGGUCAGGUCA